GACGAACGCUGGCGGCGUGCUUAACACAUGCAAGUCGAACGGAAAGGCCCUGCUUUUGUGGGGUGCUCGAGUGGCGAACGGGUGAGUAACACGUGAGUAACCUGCCCUUGACUUUGGGAUAACUUCAGGAAACAGGGGCUAAUACCGGAUAGGAGCUCCUGCUGCAUGGUGGGGGUUGGAAAGUUUCGGCGGUUGGGGAUGGACUCGCGGCUUAUCAGCUUGUUGGUGGGGUAGUGGCUUACCAAGGCUUUGACGGGUAGCCGGCCUGAGAGGGUGACCGGCCACAUUGGGACUGAGAUACGGCCCAGACUCCUACGGGAGGCAGCAGUGGGGAAUAUUGCACAAUGGGCGGAAGCCUGAUGCAGCAACGCCGCGUGCGGGAUGACGGCCUUCGGGUUGUAAACCGCUUUCGCCUGUGACGAAGCGUGAGUGACGGUAAUGGGUAAAGAAGCACCGGCUAACUACGUGCCAGCAGCCGCGGUGAUACGUAGGGUGCGAGCGUUGUCCGGAUUUAUUGGGCGUAAAGGGCUCGUAGGUGGUUGAUCGCGUCGGAAGUGUAAUCUUGGGGCUUAACCCUGAGCGUGCUUUCGAUACGGGUUGACUUGAGGAAGGUAGGGGAGAAUGGAAUUCCUGGUGGAGCGGUGGAAUGCGCAGAUAUCAGGAGGAACACCAGUGGCGAAGGCGGUUCUCUGGGCCUUUCCUGACGCUGAGGAGCGAAAGCGUGGGGAGCGAACAGGCUUAGAUACCCUGGUAGUCCACGCUGUAAACGGUGGGUACUAGGUGUGGGGUCCAUUCCACGGGUUCCGUGCCGUAGCUAACGCUUUAAGUACCCCGCCUGGGGAGUACGGCCGCAAGGCUAAAACUCAAAGGAAUUGACGGGGCCCCGCACAAGCGGCGGAGCAUGCGGAUUAAUUCGAUGCAACGCGUAGAACCUUACCUGGGUUUGACAUGGAUCGGGAGUGCUCAGAGAUGGGUGUGCCUCUUUUGGGGUCGGUUCACAGGUGGUGCAUGGCUGUCGUCAGCUCGUGUCGUGAGAUGUUGGGUUAAGUCCCGCAACGAGCGCAACCCUUGUUCACUGUUGCCAGCACGUUAUGGUGGGGACUCAGUGGAGACCGCCGGGGUCAACUCGGAGGAAGGUGGGGAUGACGUCAAGUCAUCAUGCCCCUUAUGUCCAGGGCUUCACGCAUGCUACAAUGGCUGGUACAGAGAGUGGCGAGCCUGUGAGGGUGAGCGAAUCUCGGAAAGCCGGUCUCAGUUCGGAUUGGGGUCUGCAACUCGACCUCAUGAAGUCGGAGUCGCUAGUAAUCGCAGAUCAGCAACGCUGCGGUGAAUACGUUCCCGGGGCU
rnacentral:rRNA from 1 species